rnacentral:tRNA from 1 species
GGGUGGCUAGCUCAGUUGGUAGAGCAACCGGCUCUUAACCGGUAGGCCCAUGGUUCGAUCCCAUGCCCACCCA